AUGGCAACCACCUCCGCCUCGUUAGGGUGGUUAGGCACAUCCUCUAUGUACGAGGUCAUCCUCAAAAAGGUAUUCCAAACCUGAGUUUAGCUGCUUUGAUGGUGGUUGAAUGAAAUUCGGAAGUCAUUCCAAUUCCAAGAAAUAGUUCAAUGUCUAGUGAUGGUAUUUCUGUCCUUUAAGAAUGGUCCACCCUCUGUAAAGUUGUUCUAUCAGUACAACUAACGCAAUCUCAUGAUUCAAGACUAAGGAUGACAGUUUGACUGAUACGUUAGCUCUCUCUCGCAAAUGUCUACCAUGUCCAUAAGGUCCACCUAUGCAAAAGAGUAAGGUUGAUGCUCCCUUGUUUCCAGCCUCUCCGAUUAAAGAAGCCAUCUGCUCGGAUCCAACAUCAUGACCACGCUCAUCCAACAUUACAACCCAUUCAUCAGGCCUGAUGAGGCUCAUAACAGCAAUGUCCUCAUGUUCAAUUUGAGCCACUA
rnacentral:misc_RNA from 1 species